UUUCAGAAAAAGCAGCCUGGGAGUAACACUGGAGAUAGAAGGGCGUCACAAACUGCUGACAAUGCUCAGAAAAAAAUUCAUACAAGCAAGAAAAAAGGAAAGGGGCUUGGAACUAAUGGCCGUGAUCCACUAAAGGAAAGAACAAACCGUUUCUGUAAGGAGGAAGUGGAAGAGGGACAAUCAAAAAGUCA